rnacentral:rRNA from 1 species
CCUACGGGAGGCAGCAGUGAGGAAUAUUGGUCAAUGGACGCAAGUCUGAACCAGCCAAGUCGCGUGCAGGAUGACGGCCCUAUGGGUUGUAAACUUCUUUUGUAAGAGAGUAAACCGAGGCACGUGUGCCGGUUUGCAUGUACUUUAUGAAUAAGGAUCGGCUAACUCCGUGCCAGCAGCCGCGGUAAUACGGAGGAUCCGAGCGUUAUCCGGAUUUAUUGGGUUUAAAGGGUGCGUAGAUGGGUUGUUAAGUUAGUGGUGAAAGUUUGGGGCUCAACCGUGAAACUGCCUUUGAUACUGGCAGUCUUGAGUAUAGUUGAGGUAGGCGGAAUGCGUGGUGUAGCGGUGAAAUGCUUAGAGAUCACGCAGAACACCGAUUGCGAAGGCAGCUUACCAAACUGUGACUGACAUUGAGGCACGAAAGUGUGGGUAUCAAACAGGAUUAGAUACCCUGGUAGUC